rnacentral:rRNA from 1 species
GACGAACGCUGGCGGCGUGCUUAACACAUGCAAGUCGAACGAUGAAGCCCAGCUUGCUGGGUGGAUUAGUGGCGAACGGGUGAGUAACACGUGAGUAACCUGCCCUGGACUCUGGGAUAACCCCGAGAAAUCGGAGCUAAUACCGGAUAGGACCUUUCCCCGCAUGGGGUUUGGUGGAAAGUUUUUCGGUUUGGGAUGGACUCGCGGCCUCUCAGCUUGUUGGUGAGGUAAUGGCUCACCAAGGCGUCGACGGUUAGCCGGCCUGAGAGGGUGACCGGCCACACUGGGACUGAGACACGGCCCAGACUCCUACGGGAGGCAGCAGUGGGGAAUAUUGCACAAUGGGCGCAAGCCUGAUGCAGCAACGCCGCGUGCGGGAUGACGGCCUUCGGGUUGUAAACCGCUUUUAGUAAGGAAGAAGGGGCUUCGGCCUUGACGGUACUUGCAGAAAAAGGACCGGCUAACUACGUGCCAGCCGCCGCCGUAAGAC